AUCCCCAAAUAGCGUUCUCUCCCCCUCCCAACCCUAGCCCCAACCCCGCCGUGAAACCGCCGCCGUCCCCUGACGUGGACGUGACACCGUCGCCGCCCCUGACACCGCCGUCGCACCGCCGCUGUCGACACAGCUCCACUCCUCUUCUCAGCUCUCCAUCCCCCCACUUAAAAACAGAAUCAUGUCGUCAACAUCUUCUCAACAAUCAUCCUCUUCUAAACGGGCAAGGUUCUUUGAUAGGAGGCUAUAUGCUGCAAUGUGGAAUCGUCCACCUCCAUACGAGAUUCCAAAUUGCUUUUGUGGGAUUCCAAUGCAAAUGAAGACUUCUUACACCCCGAGGCAUCCGUGUCGUCGAUUUGGAAUUUGUGCUACAAACACUUGUAAUUGUUGGACUUGGUUAGAUCAUGGCGAAGUACCAAGUUACGCUCACGACUCAAUGAAUAUAUUUAUUCGCAAGUUUGAAGAGCUUUCAAUUGAAAAUGAGAAAUUGAGAUCAAGAAUACAUAAUGAAGAAAAUGGAAUUUGGAAGAAACAUAUUAAGGAAAAAGGCUUUCUACUUGGAAUUUUUGUUGGUUUUAUGAUGUCCAUUUUUCUUGUAAUAAUAUCCAAGUAAGGGUAUUGUUUAUGGUUUGGACCUUGUAAUAUUUUACUAACUCAACUAUGUUCUACGAAAAUCAGUGUUAUAUGGAA